CAGACCUUGAGCUUGAUCUAUCAUCAUCUGCAUUCGCAGUCCGAUCGAUCGAUGUGUUUGCCUCUUUCUCUCGCCAGUCGCACUGAACCCAGUCCAAAUCGCUCUCUCUCCUCUCGAAUCAACAAAUUUCUCUCGAUCUCCUCGCACAGAAAUACAAAACCAAAAUCUCAAACUUGCUACUGCUCUGUUCAUAGCACUUCAAAUCUCUUCCCUUACACCGGGCUGUGGCACUUUCUUGCCUUGGAGCUUCAAGGCCUCUGGUGGCCUGGCUGGAUGGGCAGCAGCAAGUAAAAGGUGGAGAAAGUUGUUUGCAAUGAGAGCACCUCAAGAAUUUUGAUCUGGGCUUCUAGUUCUGGUUUAAGUUUUUGUUGGAUCUUUUGGAUUGAUUGCUUUUGGUUCAGACAGUUUUGUGAUUGGUGGGUUAUAGUUUGAAAAGAUACUGUAAUCGGUUUUCCAGGUUUCAUGCUUUGUGCAGGAUCACAACUUCUGGACCUUCAUAGAGUGAGUUCAUAUCUACAGAAGAGUAUUUCUGUUUUCAGGUAUCUAUUUGAUUCUCUGACCCUUUUUUCUUUUGGUGCCAAAUGUUGUUUAAUGCAACUGAUUGGGGUUUUUCAGAGUUUGGAUCUCAUUUAACCAGAGUUAUCUUUUUCUUCUUUGUUUCGGAUCUAGCUGUUUGGGAAAAAAUGAUGUAGCUUUGCUGAAUGCUCAUGGUGGAAUGUUCAUUAUGAACUUGGUGUUGAUAAAAAUCCCUACUUUAAGGAAGUAUAGACUAUUGUAUAUUUAA